rnacentral:lncRNA from 1 species
CCCCAGCGCCCACUGGGGAUGGCAAAGACGACAUCCGGUGCGCCGAGGCUGCUCACAAAAUCACUCACCUGUGGCGCCCUUGGCCGCUCAGUCAAGGCUCUGAAUAUCCUGAGACUGCCCCACUGCUUGGAAGCCCCGGACACCAUAGUGUCUCCUGUAGGUCCUCCAGCCGAGCCCGAUGACCCCGGCAGGCCCAGGAGUGAUGUCCCCUCUGGAUGAUCCCAACCCCUUGCUGUGGAUUCAGCCCCCGCCGUUGUUGUGUCUUUUGGGGACCUUGUCAGUUGCCUUCCAAGUGCUAAUUCUCAUGACGAGAUAAGAAUGGCUGUGACUGGGUGUUGAUUGAUGAGCCGAACACAUUGAAUCCUGGAGUUUGAGGUUAUCAGAACUCCCCAUUUAGAAAAUCAUCCUUUAUGUUUUAGAAAAUCAUCAUUGUAUGUUGAACAUACAAUGCUUCUUUUUUCUUCAUCUCCAGUGCACUGGUCUAGAGAGCAGCAGUCGGACCCCAGAGUGUGGCACGUGUUCCUGUGUUCAUUUGAACAUUCUCUGAUGACCUGUUGCUGAGGUCAUGUGAUGAUGCGUAUCCUGUCUUCCACCCCAGCUGCCACUGUGUUUCAACUGUCGCUGGCUGUGUUUCAACUGCCGCUGUGUUGGAACUGCCAGCUAGACUCCUCACCAAAAUGGGAGGUAGCCUCUGCUGCUGUGGUGAAGGUGAAGGCUUCUUCUACCGCCAGAAUUGGCAGUUUCCCUCGCUGGAUUCUCGGGACCUGAUCCAGGCAGCACACUCGACACACUCAGCGAUUCAGCUCUACAGUAUGCACUCUGGGAUCUCCCAUUUGCUAAGGAAAGAUCUUAGCUUUGAGAAAGGUGACACUUUCCUCCCUACUUUUGCUGGAGAACUACCCUGGUUUGAGCUUCCUGCUGGAAAUGAGUGGCAAGAGAUCCCCUCUUGAGGAGACUCCGCAGGAACACCAGAGAUGAUAGUGACACACGACAACUGAGGGCAGAGGUACAGGCUGAGGAGAAAGGUGUCAAGCCUGUGGCAGCAGAGCUUCCUGGGGAGUCCUCAGAGCAAGUCAUUGCCAUUGUCGAAGUGUCUUCUAGGCUUUAUUUUGGGGCCAUUACCUCGAGCACUGUUUCUUGUCUGGUUUCCUAAUGUCAGCAACUGAAGAAAAGACCUGUACACACAGGACACAGCAUGGUCUGACGCUCACAGUGUUUUCCUUUCUCUCUGCAGAGGGAUUCAGCACUUUGGGCAAGUGGUUGCACAGAGGAUCCCGUGGAAGAAUUCAUAUAUGAAUCAGAUGAGGAUGCCCCAGGACCGUCGUAGAUACCAACAAGCCCUCUCCCGGCACCUGCAGAAAAAGUGGGGAAAAUCCCCGAAGAGGCAGAAACAUUCGUCCGGAAGGGCCGCCAGCCAGUGGAUUUCCCUGGCCCCUCAGCCCUCUGGAGCGUACGAGUUUUGGAGAACCCUCUUCCUCUGUAUAUGCUUUUGACUUUCCUGGACUGAUGUAAAAAUACUCUUUUCUUUGACCUGUUUAUUUUUAAGACACCAUGUGAUUGUGUCAGCUUAUAUUUUAUUGCUGAAGUAAAUUUUCAAAUGUUUUAUUAGUU